rnacentral:tRNA from 1 species
GGUAAAGUGGCCGAAUGUUAGGCAGUAGGUUGUAGCCCUAUUUAUAUUGGUUUAACCCCUUUCUUUAUCA